UGAUGACAGUUCUCCGGAAUCGCUGCACCGCUGUGAUGAAAGCACGCUUGAACCCUUUUCCAUCUGACACUGAGGGCUUUUUC
rnacentral:snoRNA from 1 species